rnacentral:lncRNA from 1 species
CUCUCAACCUCUUCCGGCCCUUCGUCCUGCAGCGAAGUCUCUACCAGAAGACAGUGGACUCCUUCUACGAAAUGCUCAAGAACGCCCCGGUGCUCAUUAGCGAGUACUCCCUCCAUAUCCCCUCCGACCAUGCCAGCCUGCCCCACAAAGCUGCUGUCUUGUAGAGCGUCCGGGACCCAGACGGCCAGGACGCAGGGCACCCCACCUGUCCACACCUCUGGGGGCAUCUGCAGGCCCUGUCACGGGAAAAUGGCGGGCUUUGUGGGGCGCCACGGCUCAGCCCAGCAGGGAAGCCAGGCCCCACGGCGCAGAGGAAACAGAAUUUCAAGCUGGAAGCUGGUUUGCUUUCAUGCCACUCGGGCCUCCUGGUGAAGUUAUUGUCCGGGUUUGGUCGAUCCUUUGCAGCUUACUUUUGGGUCACCACAAAUGGCCAAGAUGAGGACAAAAUCCUCUCUGCACACAGAGCUAAAGACAACGCAGACAUCGAUUCGGGUGUAAUUUUUACAUCCCAGGGUCGCAGUCCUAGAACCGAGCAUGCCGGGAGGCAAGAGGAGACCCAGCUCCGUCCGUUGGCCCCAAGACCUGUUCACUCCAGCGGAGCGCCCUCCCUGCACAGAACCCCCCUUUCUGGAGGGGCCUUGGCAGCCGCACAGAUGACCAAGACCCGAAGAGGCUCAGCUGACUGGGAACACGCAGGGACAACACUGCCGACCCAGCCGCCAAACCCCAGAGAGGUCACCUCGGCACUGCCAGCACUGCUCGGCACUCCAGGCCUGUGUAGGGGGGUUGGGAAGCCACUCCUCCACUUGUGGCUUCGCUGGCCCUUUGGGAUUUCCUGCCAUGGUACUGCCUCAGUAACCCUGCAGCAAGCCGAGGGGGAGGCGAGAAUGAGCGCACCCGAACCAGCACCUGGGUUCCCCUCCCGGGUUUCAGCAGGCCAGGCCUGCCGAACCACAUACCCGUUCCACGGGGAUGUCAGGCUGCCGAGGACCCUGUCCCUCGCCCAGGGGUGCUCUCACCUGGCCCCAGGGGUCCCGGAAGAUGGACGGUCUGCCUGA